UUUGAUCCUGGCUCAGAUUGAACGCUGGCGGCAUGCUUUACACAUGCAAGUCGAACGGCAGCGCGGGGCAACCUGGCGGCGAGUGGCGAACGGGUGAGUAAUAUAUCGGAACGUACCCAAGAGUGGGGGAUAACGUAGCGAAAGUUACGCUAAUACCGCAUACGAUCUAAGGAUGAAAGCAGGGGAUCUUCGGACCUUGUGCUCCUGGAGCGGCCGAUAUCUGAUUAGCUAGUUGGUGAGGUAAAGGCUCACCAAGGCUACGAUCAGUAGCUGGUCUGAGAGGACGACCAGCCACACUGGAACUGAGACACGGUCCAGACUCCUACGGGAGGCAGCAGUGGGGAAUUUUGGACAAUGGGCGAAAGCCUGAUCCAGCAAUGCCGCGUGAGUGAAGAAGGCCUUCGGGUUGUAAAGCUCUUUUGUCAGGGAAGAAACGGUUCGGGCUAAUAUCCUGAGCUAAUGACGGUACCUGAAGAAUAAGCACCGGCUAACUACGUG
rnacentral:rRNA from 1 species